rnacentral:lncRNA from 1 species
GGCAAAUCACAUUGUAGAAUUACAAUGAACUACCCAACAAAACAACAUUUGUUAGUUGGUUUAUAGAAGCAAUAUCCAAAAGUUAUUUUAAGGAUAUCCUACAAGUUUGUUAUCAAACAAAUAUUGCUUAUUAGCACACAACCCCAAAUCUUUAACAUGUUUAAGAUUUGUCUUUCUUUCCAACUACAUCUUAUGGAGUCAUGAAAAUA